UUUCUAUAUAGCUGAUUUUAAUUUAGAGAAUUGAUUUUGGUUAAAAGUUAUAAAGUGUUUGACUCAGUUUAGCACGAAAGUAAUUUUUCUGAAGUGAUUCUAUAAAGCUGUUUAACAAGUAUUUUUGCCGUUUGCAAAUAACAAAUUUUUUUUGCUAAAUUUUAUUUUAAAAUUUAAGUUUAAAUUUUGAAUUCGACUUCAAAUUUUUAAAAUUAAAAUUUUAAUAUUAAAUUUAAAUUUAAAAUUU
rnacentral:lncRNA from 1 species